UUUCUUUUUUUUUUCUUUCUUUUAAAUAUGAUUUUUAAACCGUCCAUACAAGCCAGCCACGAACAAACACAAUGCAGUUUGUCAGCUGAUUACGGCUCCAGGUUUUUUGUGUUUUGUUUUUGUCGUUUUCGUACAAAAAAAAAAAAAAAAAAGAAAAGAAAAGAAGAAGCACAAGUUUCGGCAGGGAGUUCUUGACUUACAUACGCUGCAGCUGGGGUCGCUGUUUGCAAUACAAAGGCCUCUCUCUCUCUCGCACGCCUCUUGUGCAUGUGUGUGUGUAUGUGUGUGGUGACUUUUGUUUGAGAUUUACAUGUUGUACAGGACGUGUCCCUCAUUGGCAUUUACAUGUUUGUCUGUUUGGAGUGGACUCCGGUCGGUUCACAUCUGGUAUUUACACUGGAAUAAGGAUGGUAGGGGGGGUGGGGGGGGGUCAAAGGUCAGAGAGGUGGCUGGGGUAGUGAUUGGGCUCACAGGGGAAAACAUGGAAGGUGUCCAGAUCAUGCACUUGUCACUUUUACAGAUAAAAGAUGAAAUGACGGUGACAAACGGACAAUUUUCCUCAUGGCUUCUUUUUUACUUAUAACCUCUCGCCUAUAUGAAACAUUUACUUUAUACAAAUCUUUAGAAAGUGUUUCUGUGAACCCAGUUCAGCUCCCCUAAACUAAUCAACAAAGUUAUUAACUGGGAAAGACGUAUUCAUGACAACUUGGAUAUUUCACUCUCCAUAUAUAUGUUAUAGAGCUGUUGUUUACUAGACAGUGUUUCAGAUCAAUGACUGCUUAAAUACUUUUACCAAUUCCACUGCUGCCCAAAAGGCUUCCUGGCCAUGUUACAAGUGAAACUUCCCAGUUGUUGUGAACAUGUCUUUAGCUCCCCAUAUCAAAGGAGAAUGGACGUGUUUUCUUUUUUACAAAAUUUCACGAAAACGAAACAAAGCAGACAUGGUUUCUAACUGAGGAGUGAUCAACAAUGACUGUGACUUCCUUCUACGUUGUUCUUCACAUGCCUUCACCUCCUCAGGUUUUUCUCAAACAGGAUUCAUUGCAUAGAACGACUUUUCCUCCUUUGCCUGCGAUGCUCGUCGUGGUUGAACUCGUGUCCGUUUUGUUUUCUUCCCCCACAUUAGAUGAUUUUUUAUUUUUUUUUAAAAUACUCGCAUACUGAACCCCGAACACGCACAUACAUACACGCAUACGUACAAACAUCAGGAACAGAACAAUAUAGAGGUGACUGAGGUUUUCCUCUGCGCCGGGCAGCAUGCGAAGGUUCCCAGCGAGCGUUCACAAAGACAAUAUACAGCAGAAGUUGAUUGAUUUGGAGAAGGAGGAGGAGGAGGAGAAGGAGGCCUCACCCUGAUGGGGUCGUGUCAUGAGGGCCGGACCGCGGAUUCCCCACAAUGCACUGCAGGAGCAACAGCAGAGCGAAUACUGACCUGAGAAUAUUUCCAAGGUGACUGACAGUCUUAGAGAAAAGAUUUGUUUCUGUUGUUUUGGAGAAGGGGUGCUGGGUCAGACGUCUGAACUCCACCGCGAUAGAAAAUAGGCCGUUUUUUGUUUUUAUUUUCUUAAAAAAAAAAAAAAAAAAA